rnacentral:rRNA from 1 species
AUUGAACGCUGGCGGCAGGCCUAACACAUGCAAGUCGAGCGAGCGGCGGACGGGUGAGUAAUGCCUAGGAAUCUGCCUGGUAGUGGGGGAUAACUACUGGAAACGGUGGCUAAUACCGCAUACUAUCGGAUGAACCCAUAUGGGAUUAGCUAGUAGGUGGGGUAAAGGCUCACCUAGGCGACGAUCUCUAGCUGGUCUGAGAGGAUGAUCAGCCACACUGGGACUGAGACACGGCCCAGACUCCUACGGGAGGCAGCAGUGGGGAAUAUUGCACAAUGGGCGCAAGCCUGAUGCAGCCAUGCCGCGUGUAUGAAGAAGGCCUUAGGGUUGUAAAGUACUUUCAGCGGGGAGGCGUUACCCGCAGAAGAAGCACCGGCUAACUCCGUGCCAGCAGCCGCGGUAAUAC